rnacentral:rRNA from 1 species
GGUGAACGCUAGCUACAGGCUUAACACAUGCAAGUCGAGGGGCAGCAUUUUAGUUUUGCUUGCAAACUGAAGAUGGCGACCGGCGCACGGGUGAGUAACACGUAUCCAACCUGCCGAUAACUCCGGAAUAGCCUUUCGAAAGAAAGAUUAAUACCGGAUAGCAUACGAAUAUCGCAUGAUAUUUUUAUUAAAGAAUUUCGGUUAUCGAUGGGGAUGCGUUCCAUUAGUUUGUUGGCGGGGUAACGGCCCACCAAGACUACGAUGGAUAGGGGUUCUGAGAGGAAGGUCCCCCACAUUGGAACUGAGACACGGUCCAAACUCCUACGGGAGGCAGCAGUGAGGAAUAUUGGUCAAUGGGCGAGAGCCUGAACCAGCCAAGUAGCGUGAAGGAUGAAGGCUCUAUGGGUCGUAAACUUCUUUUAUAUGGGAAUAAAGUUUUCCACGUGUGGAAUUUUGUAUGUACCAUAUGAAUAAGGAUCGGCUAACUCCGUGCCAGCAGCCGCGGUAAUACGGAGGAUCCGAGCGUUAUCCGGAUUUAUUGGGUUUAAAGGGAGCGUAGGUGGAUUGUUAAGUCAGUUGUGAAAGUUUGCGGCUCAACCGUAAAAUUGCAGUUGAAACUGGCAGUCUUGAGUACAGUAGAGGUGGGCGGAAUUCGUGGUGUAGCGGUGAAAUGCUUAGAUAUCACGAAGAACUCCGAUUGCGAAGGCAGCUCACUAGACUGUCACUGACACUGAUGCUCGAAAGUGUGGGUAUCAAACAGGAUUAGAUACCCUGGUAGUCCACACAGUAAACGAUGAAUACUCGCUGUUUGCGAUAUACAGUAAGCGGCCAAGCGAAAGCAUUAAGUAUUCCACCUGGGGAGUACGCCGGCAACGGUGAAACUCAAAGGAAUUGACGGGGGCCCGCACAAGCGGAGGAACAUGUGGUUUAAUUCGAUGAUACGCGAGGAACCUUACCCGGGCUUAAAUUGCAACAGAAUAUAUUGGAAACAGUAUAGCCGUAAGGCUGUUGUGAAGGUGCUGCAUGGUUGUCGUCAGCUCGUGCCGUGAGGUGUCGGCUUAAGUGCCAUAACGAGCGCAACCCUUAUCUUUAGUUACUAACAGGUCAUGCUGAGGACUCUAGAGAGACUGCCGUCGUAAGAUGUGAGGAAGGUGGGGAUGACGUCAAAUCAGCACGGCCCUUACGUCCGGGGCUACACACGUGUUACAAUGGGGGGUACAGAAGGCGGCUACCUGGUGACAGGAUGCUAAUCCCAAAAACCUCUCUCAGUUCGGAUCGAAGUCUGCAACCCGACUUCAUGAAGCUGGAUUCGCUAGUAAUCGCGCAUCAGCCAUGGCGCGGUGAAUACGUUCCCGGGCCU